GCUCUGGGGAAGGGGCGGUGGGCGUGGCCAACGGCUUGAGCCCGGCCGUUGGCGGUUAAUUUCGGGCCGCCCCUGGUUCAGUUUCUCCGCGACCGCUCUGAGUUGACUUCUUAGAUGACAACCCGGCUUAUACGCACUCUCCCUAUCCAGGGAAGAUCAGAACUGCCUUAAGGAUGCAGGAAAAACCCCGAGACCCAGGAUGUGGGGAACUGGGCGCCCCCUCCCUUACCUCAGGAUUCCAUUCUCCCUUCCGGAGGACUCGCCGCCUGCAGGCCAUGAAAGAGCGCAGGACUCCGAGGACCCGGACUAGCCUAGCGGAGCCGCCCUGCCCCGCCCGGCCCCGUGCCCCGUGUUCCCCGGCGCCGGGGACUGGUCACUGCCCACGAUCAUCAGUCAAGCAUAACCAAGAGUGUGGAGGCUAUUUGUGCACGCGGUCAUCUAGCCACUAGAAAGUCACCUUCCAGGAGUCCCAUCCCAGCAGGACCUUCCCAGGCUCCUGCCUUCCCAGCCUUCACCCCAGUGUUAGCUAUCUGGAAAAGGGUCUGCGAGCAGGACCUGGGGCUCUUUUCUUGGUCCAUGCAUUGCCCACACCCGUUUCCCCCUCAAGGUACUGAGUACUCUCCCUUCACUGAGGAGAUCUGAGCUUGGUCCAGGCAGCAGGAGAAGACACAGCCCUCGGGGGUUAAGGUUCCUUCAAAGUCAAGGCUCACAGGAUUCCUCAGGAGAGAGGGCUGGGCGUGAGCAGGAACCCCGCUGUAGGUGUUUGUAGCAGUGAAAAGGAUGGGUCCCUUGCCCUCCUCAGAGCUCAGCUCAGACCCAAAGGCUCUUCCACUUACCAUCAACAUGGAAACUUGGCUCUUCACAUGAGUAUAUUCUCCCUCUUUUGUGCAGUAUCUUGUUCCUCAAACCGCCCUUCUGUGAAGGCCUGUGGGGUCAAGGGGCCUGGCCAGUCACGCAGAGGUGACUGAGCCCCACAGACCUCAGGUCAGGUAGACAGAUUUAAUAAAGGCUUCACGACCUUGACUGUCAGGACUCGUGAUUGGUGUGCGGGUUCAGGAGAUUUGGAUGGUCCUUUUUUUCCUUUCCAUCCAAACGGGUGCAUGGUACUUGUGCCACAGACACGUGGGCAAUGAGGGGAGGCUGGGGGUGGGUGGGAUUUUGAGGGAUAUCCCUGGCUCUUCCCCCUUCCCUCUGAAGAAUGCUCCUCAGUAUGUCAGGGAGGGGCCUGACACCAGUCGAUUUGCUAGACACCUGGCAGGGUUUUCUUUGAGCUUCUACAUGGUAAUAGGGCAAGAACCAAAGGGACAAAUGUAUCUGCCAGAAUGUCAGGCCAUUAGGAAGGAUGUGGAAGGGGCUAAAUAGGGAUUCAUAUUGAGGUCCUGGGAUUUCAUUACUGUUUUGAAACUUCAUUCUCCUAGUCCUUGAUUAAGGGUAAUGGGAGAAUUAAUAAAUUACUGGUGGGAGGGGGUUGUUGUCUUCAGAGUGGGGACCCAAGAGUACAGGCAUCCUGUCAGUGGCCUGGGUUGUGUACCUGGCAGGUGGUGGGCAGCUUUGCUGGAUCUCACAGUUGGUAGUGAAAGUCGUUGCAGAAAAAACAUUCACUUGCUGGGGCUUCGGAUGUCACCCAGUGCCCUGCCCCCUCUUCCUGUCUUGUUUUCCCACACACCACAGAGACAAGAGCUGAUCUGGCAAGGGGACAAUCCCUAAGACUCCCCACACUGGGGCCCUUUCUCUGUGCUUUUCUACUCCAGUGAUGACCACAGAAUAUUCUGGGAGUUGUCUUCAGUAAAGACUCGGGGGUCUCCUAAGGAGCGGGAAUGGUGGAGUCUGUACAAAGCUAGAGCCAUAAUCAUUAAGCACUGAGUUCGUCGGAGCACAGGGAAUGAGUUCAUGUGUUCUUGUCCUUGGAGGACUUACAAAUUAAAAGUAUGGAAUCAUUUGUAAUCAGAAUAACCACCUGGCAGGGAUAUUGAUGAACAGAGGAGGGCUUACUUGGAGACCUCUGAUCUUUCCAGCCCCAAGACUCUGGGCCUAAUACCCACAUAAUCAUUAGUGUUCUGUAAUUUAUAACAGUGUUAUCAUUGAUCCAUGUCGUUAAUCAUCAUGAAUUGGUGAUUUCUCAAAUGCUCUGGGUUAUUUGUGUAUCAACAUAGAGCUCUGUGAUUUACAAACACAGAAAUCCUUGGAGGUAGAGAGACGCCAUGGCCAUUUUACAGAUGAGAAUACUGAAAAAGACUCCACUCCCUUGAAGGAGAGGGUAUGCAGUGCACUUGCCCCAUUGGGCCUGCUGGCUUACUCCUCUCUCCAGCCCCCACAUUGGAGAAAGCAAGAACAAAAAAGCCAAUAGGCCUCAGUUUGUCAGGAUGUUUAAGGACUUUGAGGACAGCCUUCUACUUUUCAUCACACAGGCACUGGGACAGACACAGAGAAGGCAUUACAUAUCUGUCCAAUAGAUUUGUCCAUGUCUUCCAUUUUUUAAUGUUACAUGUCCUCUUUUAACCCUUGUGGCUCGCAUCAUCCUUCCAGAUGAUUCACUGAGAUUCUAAUGUCCUUUGCUGUUGUUAGGUAACUUUGGGGCACCUCCAGUGACUGACUGAUUACCCAGCUCUUCCCCUAACUAGUUCUAUGACCUGCAGCAUGUUGUUUAUCCUCUCUGCGUCUCAGUUUUCUAGGUGGUAAAAUGGGUGAUCCAACCUGUGUGUCAUGGGUGAGGAUUAUAAGAAAUAGCACAUGGAUGCUUAUUCCUCUGUUUGGCAAGUAAGAUGAGUUCCCUCUUCCCUGCUUGCGCAGUCCUUUGUGUUCUGCGAAGAACUUUGCUAUCUAUGGUGCCUCACAACCAAGAAGGGAGAGUCCUGAGUCUGCCCUUCCCUAGCUACUUCAAGGCCAACUCAGAUUCUGUAAAACUUUCUGAAACACUUCUGUUCUUCUGUGCAACAGCUCUCCCCUCAAUAAAUUUACCCUGGAAUAAUCUGGAAGGCCAGGGGCUCAUCACCCUCAGCCAUUCUCCAGUCAUUUGGUGUCCAUCCCUUCAUGAAGACCCAGAAGAGACAAGUGGAUUUGAUGGUGGGGCUAUGCCUUAGAGCCUCUAGUGUUCAUGGAGAAGCCAACCCUUUCCUCCUUCACUAAGCUUUGAUGUCCCAAUGGGCCUCUGUUCCUAUAUUGGGUCAGGAGUCUUUGCCUUCCCACAGGGAACAAAAAGAGCAUCAAAACAUAUACAGCACAAACGCUCGAAUCCCGAAAAGGACCUCAGAUUCAGGGGGCCCCCUGCUUGCCUCCUGGCUUCACUAGGGAGUGGGCCUACAGGGACACUCCAGGUGGAGGCCCAUCCCAGGCCUCUGCUCUGUGCCCUCUUCUAGAUGUGGAUGGGAGAUGAGCUGGACCUAUACAGCUUUGUCCUCCCAAGUUUUCCUCUGAUUCUGCCCCUCACCUCUUCCUUACUCGUGCUUGCCUGAUCCCUCUCACCUCCCCCCUUCCUUUGCUUAGCCAAUAGCGGACCGUGGUCUCUGACCCUAUCCCACCCAGGGUGGGACUGGAGGGCUGAGAGAUCUUCAUGCUCAUGGAACAUUCCUAGAAGAGCCACCCUUCCCAGACUCAUACUGCAACUCUCAAGAGCCCUAUAUCCUUCUGUAUCUCUCCCAGACUUGGUUGUUCUCUUGCUGUGUGGAUAUUUUCUUUUCUUCCUCUGGCUGCCUUCUCGGCCUUCACUUCUAUUUUCUGCAGCAGGUGGGCAUCACUGUAAUGGCCGAGUGAGUGUGUGUGUAUGUGAGGGAGGGUAUGGUGUGAUGGGAACACCAGUUCUGGGGUCUGAAGGUUUCAUUUGAGAACCCCUUCCGCUCCAUAAGCUCUAUAAGAACUUGGAAAAAAAAUCCCAAAUAAAUAACUUACAUCUUCAGGUUGGAAAAGCUGUAAACUGGGGAAAGCAGUGAUGUGUAAAUCUGAGUUUUGGGGUAAGGAAUGGGAGGCAUGGGGCGCCUGGGUGGCUCAGUUGGUUAAGCAUCCAGCUCUUAAUUUUGGCUCAUGUCAUGAUCUCAUGGUUCGUGAGUUAGAGCCCUGAGUAGGGCUCCAUGCUGGUAGUUCAGAGUCUGCUUGGGAUUCUGUCUCUGCCUGUCUCUCUCUCUCAAAAUAAAUAAAUCAACUUAAAAAAAAGGAAUGGAAGUCAUGGUAAUCCAUCUGAAAGAAUUUACUUGAAACAGCGGGAUGCUGUACAACCUCUCUAGCCCUGCUGUGGACUAUAUGUAUUCAAAUGUCUCCACUUGGCUUUCUCCCCCACCACUCUGCAGACAAGUCUCGAAGUAGGGAAGAAAGCCCAGUUGACCACCCCUGGAAUCAGAUACUCUUGUCUCAGCCCCCUCCAUCUUGUUUUCUACCCCAAACCAAAGGCGGAGGGGCUCAGGCAAGAGUAUCUUGUUUUCUCAUACCUGGCACAAAUCUCCAUUUUCCAUACCUCAGGGGAGAUGGAGGGCUCUAGAGCUCAAGAGGAAAAGUCCCAGAAAAGUCCCAAGCUCUGCUUCCCUAAUGAUACUGGCCAAAGCUAAACUAACCUAACCCUGUUUGCAGGAUUCCUCAGAAGGCAGAGUCUCAUCAGAACCCUGCAAAAAAAUGUGAGGAUCAAGGAAGAAUUAGACUCCUUUACUUGAUGGCUGUUGGGGCCCUCCCCACAUCCUCCCUCUGCAGUGACCCACAGUCCUCUCCAUUUACCUUCAUCAUGGAAGCCAGGCUCUUUGCGUGGGGGUCACCCUAUCCCCAGCUACGUGUUCUGCUGUACCUCACUUCUCCCUCGAGUAACUGUGAAGUGUCAGCUCUACCCAAGGGGCCUGCCGAGCCAUCCACUGCUGGAUGAGGUGGAGUAUUUCUCUAAAAUUCCUUCCAGUGGAGAGGAAGAAUGUUUGUGCUGGAGGGGACCAUGUUUGUGCUGGAGGGGACCUGGAUGUUAAGGAGAGGUGGAAAGGGCUGGUCAGCGGGCUGCUUCAGGUCCUCCUACCAUCCCAUUGGGAAGAACUCACCCCUAACUCAAGUACUGUCCCUAGGUGAUUUACCUGGCAUCUGGCAGAGUCUUCCCAUGAGCAUUUACAUCCUAUAAGGGAAAAUGUCUGUUAACCCAGAGAAAUGGAGAAGGCGGCUGGGAGGACUUGGUGGUAGCCUUUAUGUCAUUCCAGAGUCCCAUUGUUAGAUUUUGGCUUUUAUGCCAGACUUGGAACAAGGAUAAAGGGUGAGCAGGGAUUGGGGAAGUGAUAAGUGAGGGAGCCCAGGGGUGAGGUCAGAGAUUUUUCAGGUCCUCCUUGCUGCUGUUGGGACUGAGGAUCUUGGAACAUGAAGGAGCAUUAGGGGCUGCAGAGGCUCCCAUGUGUUUCCUGCCCCUUUCUUGCCUCCUGCCUUUUCUCAGUGUCAUGGAGACCAGGGCUGAUUUGUCAAGGGGACAGCAUCUCCCCCUCGGAGAUUUUCCCAGCUAAGGUCCUGGCUCUGUACCCAGUUUCCUACCACUAUUCUGGCCACAGCUGCUUUCUGUCUGGCCUCUGGAUUUCUUAUGAAGGCAGGAAUGAUGGCUCCGCAAGGCCCACCAGGAACACAGAGCCAUAACCAUCGGGCCUUGAUCUGAUUGGAGUACAGGGAGCCACUUCCUGCCGGGGUGAAUUCUGAAAUUCAUCAUGCACAGUCUUGCUUGUAAUAAGAUUAAUAACAGUUUCCAUGGAUAUCGAACAGAAGAUUCUAAUACCCAUCGAGGGAGGCUCAAGUGGAUGGCGUCUGAUGGCUCUGGCAGCCCUGAGAUUCUCUGAGUCUGAGAUCCCUAAUAUCAUCACUAAUUCUCUGUAAUUUAUACUAAUGUUUUCAAUGAUGCAUAUCAUUAAUAAUAAUGGCUAUGAUAAUAGCCAAUCUCAAGUGUGGUCUAUAGAACUACACAGUACUUCUGAGGCGUACUUACCAAAGUCCAUACUUACCAUUGGUACUUUACCAGAAAGGAAACUAGAACCAAGAAAUGGCUCUGAAUCCAGCUUCUCCCACAGAAUGGCCCCUCACCCAUAGGAGCAAUUGUACUUGCCUUGGGUUACUCAGGACCCCCACACCCAGUUCUCUGCAACUGCCUCUCUUUGUUCUCUCCGUCCUGCCUCCCAUCCCUGUUUAAAAGCUCCCGUGAGAGCCACUUGCCUCCUUCCACCCCUGCUUGAUAAGACACAGGAUUUCAGUCCUGACUGGGCACCUGUUUGGCACAGAGCCAGUCACCCCCUGCGCCCCCCCCCUCCCCCCGCCAUGUCAAGUUCCUUUGGAACUUAAAAUCUAGCUAACGCUUCCAGCCAGAAGUGCCGCCUUGGGCAUGUGGUUCUGGCCAAUCCAUCCAUCCAUUCAUCCAUCCAUCACCUCCUGGAUAGUGGGUUCCCCAAAGCUAUACAUUAUCUUAAAAUAAAUGAAAACAGACCCAUCUUGUAAAAUCAGAGAUCCAGAAACUAGCUCAUGUCCCUGCCCCUCAGGGAAACAUAGAAGGCCCUCAAGGGCAUGCACAGUGUCCUUUACUUUUAUUUCGCUUUCUUUUAAAACCAGGCACAGUGUGGGGCACACAGCAGGUCAGCGAAUGCAUGUUGAACGCAUGCAGCACUGAUUUCUCCACCUCUCUCACUUUUUCUGCUGGGUUCAGUCUUCUUGAAUUCAAGGUUCACAUGCCAGGGUUCGGGCCUUUGAGAUGAAACCCAACAAACUGUGUUUCUAUUCACCUCUGCAGCUCUGCAGGUAACUUCGGUACAAAUCCAUUUAUUGAAUGUUUAUCCAGCUCUGCCACUCACUUAACUAUGUGAUGUUGGGCAAGAUAUUUAACCCCUCUCUACCUUAGCUUCUCCAACAGAAAUGUUAAUAAUAAUAAUACCUACUUCACUGUGUUGUUUUGAUGAUAAAUUGAGAUUAUAUUAAAAAAAAAAACUCUUAGAACAGUGCAUGGCACAUAGGAAAAUCUCAAUAAUGUCGGCUAUUAUUAGCAAUUUAAUUUUGCAGUUCAAUAUCCACUUGGAAAAUGCUAACCUUGUGUCAACUUAAUGAAGGGAUAAAACUUUCCCGCAAUUAGUCUGGGUAGGUAAGGCAACGGGCCCAUCCUCGGUAGACGGGCAGAAUUGUAAUCCUCCAGAGAUCCCCAAAGGAAUGGGUGGAAAGUAUGUAACAGGGAUUACUGGGUGUAACUGAGAUCUCAACUCCUUCUUCAUAAUAUUCCUUCUCAGACAGUGAAUGAGACACCUGCUUUGUAUCAGGACGUACCCAGUCGGUGAUGGAGGUGUGAUGCUCUGAGGUUUUUCUUCCCAACAUGGGAACAGCAUCAGGAAGUUCAGCUAGCAGAGCCCCACAGAGACUCCAGAUGCGGGCCCAGAAUCCUGGCUCUCGCUCACAUUCGACUGCUGGCUGAAGGAACCAGAGGCUCAAUGAUCCCAACAAGAACAAGAAAAUAGCCAGGCAGGAGCCUGAAAUCUGCACCCAUUUGCCUAGAGUUGGUGAGCUGAAGAAAGAUGCCAAGUGUCCAAAAUGAGGCCACGGGGCAAGAUGGCUGUGCCCGUCAGAAGAUGCUAAAUGGCCAUGAUGGGCAUCACAGGGUAGCUUGAGAUGUAAAGGCGGGCUCCCCUCUACGGUCCCUUGGGAAACAUAGCAAUUCCCUCUGCCAGAGGCUGCAAGGAAGGGAAACCCUGAGUCUUGUAGUAAAACACUGACCAGCUGUGAGGUGGGAAAACUUAAAUAGAUCACAGAAGAUCAGAUCACUAAGAUCUUGGGUUUAAGGCAAAAACAGGUAUUUUUAAACUGUGAAGGGAGCUGUGUUCCUUUUAGGUGUUGGGAGAGCAACAUGGAUGGGUCUGAUUCUAUUACGCGAAGGUAGCAACCUCGGGUAUUUACCCGUGAGAAGCCUUGUCACAACAAACUUCCUGCUGCCAACCGCAUCGCAGGGAGCGGCUGGGUUUGAGGAUCGAGGUGUGCUAUUUAAAACCAUGCGUUGGGUUUUCGCCCGCUGUCUGCCAAGUCUUGUCUUUUGAAGAAGGGUGUCGAUUUUACCAGCAGCAAUUUGUAGCUAUCACAAUGGCGGCGAGAACAGAGGAAGCCCCGCCUGGCUCAGACCCUUACUGCAGACAGACAGACAACAGAGAAUAGAAGACACAGAAGAACUCAGGCCCUGCUUAGGAAAAUUCAGUACCUACAGACUGUGGGAGAGAAGUUAUUACUGGUGUUGGAAGGGGAAAAUCUGAGACAAUGACCUUCCUUUUACCUGGCUGGAAAUUAUAUCCCUUUAAAAAAAAAAAAAGUGUGUGUCAUUUCUCUUGGAAUUUCAACAGUGUUAUGAUGGCAAAAUGAAAGCAUCUCCUUUGAGGGGAAACUGAAGAAUGCAUCAUUAUCAAGAAUUUGGGGAGGGGUGCCUGGGUGGCUCAGUCAGUUAAGUGUCAGACUCUUGAUUUCUGCUCAGGUCAUGAUCUCCCGGUUGGUGAGAUCUAGCUCCACA